GGCAUGUAGAAGUUCCUGGUCCAGAGAUUGAACCUAUGGCACAGCAGUGGCCUGAGCCACUGCAGUGCCAACACCGAAUCCUUAACCUGCUGCACCACAAGGGAACUUAGUAUUGAGCUUCCUUUUUCUGAGGCUAUUCUAUGACCUGGAGCCUGUGCUAAGCACUUUAAUAGUAGCUGCUAUUUACUAAGUGCUUACUGUGUGCCAGGCACAGUUCUAAGCUCUUUAUAUGUAUUAAAUUCCAUAAUCCUCCCAAUAACUUUACAUAGUAGGUGCUAGUGUCAUACCCAUUUUACAGAUGAGGACAUUGAGGGAAGGCUGCCCAAGGUUGCACAGCUAGAAAGCAUGAGAGCCUGGAUUUGAAUUCAAGAAGUCUGGCCCCAGAGCUUGGGUUGUGGCUUCUGAGACCCAGGAAACCAGGUCAGAAGGAAGCACUCUGCUGUCUCAGAGCCCUCCCGCUGGCCUCCAUCCAGGCCUGCCAGAGAGGGUCCUCAGGAUAAAGAUUGAAACUCAUCCCUACCACGCAUCCAUCCCUUUACUCCAGGCACUGGGAUUACCUCUAUUAAUAAUCUGGGAGUCCCUGGCUGUCAGGGACAGGAUCUGAUCCCUCUGUGGGUCCUGAGGAUACAGGAUAAACUGCAGUAGAGAGGGAACUCGGGAAAUGGGGAUGGAUGGGAAACUGGGAUGGAUGUGCUUGGGGAGAAAAGGAAAUCAGGAUGUGGGAGCCUUUCAGUUCCCAGAGGGAUUCCUGCCAGCUGGCACAGCCCCAUUAUUCUUAACUUACGGCUCCUAUUACAAGCAGAAUCUGAGUAAUGGGCAGGCAGCACAAGCGGAGGGAAAAAAGCCAGCAAGGAGUGAAGUUCAUGUACAAAAAUAAAAUGCUGGAGCUAAGAAUGGAGAAGACAGUAGAGCCAGGGAGGGGGCCGUUUUAUGGAAGAGGGUUUGGGGGAUUUUUUUUUUUUUUUGGCUUUGCCUGAAGCCAGGGUUCGAACCCAUGCCACAGCAGUGAUAAAGCCACUCAGGCCACCAGAGAACCCCUGCGGGAUUUUUUUUUAAUGAGAAAAAAAUGGAGGAGCACUUCCAUGCCUGACAGGGGUUAAGGGGCCCCCAAGUCUUCAUAGAGAAAAAGAAACAAUGACAAGGGGCCCCCAAGUCUUCAUAGAGAAAAAGAAACGGAUGAAAAACAUGCUAAGUUUCUCUCUGGGUCCUGACUGUAUUCCUGCCUGGUCAAUGCUUCCAGGGGAAAAAUGCGAAUGGUUCCAGUAUUUUAUUUUUGGUCACUGGGCAGUUGUGUUUCUGCAUGUGACUCGAAGCUGGAACUGGCUUCGAGACAAAAACAGGCUGGCAGCCUCGUGAGGGUCACAGAUGAGCCACGGGUUUGGAGAUAUAACGACAAACAUUUACUGAGUGCCUACAGCAUGGCAGGUCUGGUGCCUGAUCAGGGGUCAGCAGACGUCUUCUGUCAAAGGCCCAACAGUAAAUAUCUUCAGCUUUGAGACCCAGGCGGUCUCUGCUAUUUCUACUCUACCGCGGUCUUGCAUCAGAGAGCUGCCACGGAUAAUUGUAAAGGAAUGGGUGUGGGUCUGUUUCAAUAAAACUUUAUUGAUACAAACAGGAAGUGGGAGGAUUCAGCCUGGGGGUGGUUGUUUGCCGACCUCUAUUCUGGAAGCCAGGGAGAGGAGAGAACAGAGACAGGGUUCUAGCCUUGUGGGAACUCAGAUAUUAAUUUACUCCAACUUGGCAGGCAGAGGGAAACCGUUCUAAGUUAGAUCCCGUCCUUCCUCCGCUCAGGGUCCUCCCCUGGCUUCAGUCUCAAAGUUAAAGCAAAGUCCUUGUGAGAUCUCCCAACCCUGCACCAUCUGGCCCCCUUUGUCCCCUCUCUACCCACAGCUCCCGC
ensembl:lncRNA